UGUGGUCAUCAGCUGCGGGCAAGUCAACAUCUCUGCGGGCCACGUAGAGAUUCACUAUAUGACUCGAUCUGGGCGAGUCCUUUUCUUUCACUUUAUAGUUACCAGCAUGAAAAUCUCCAUACCAACAAGCAGGUUCCCAUCAAGAUGGCAUCUACAGGGAUGAUACAGGAAGGCUAUCCUUACAUGCAAAUUUGGCGGAAUCACAUUUUGAUUUACGAUUGCUUAUUAGUCUCUUUUAAGCUUCCGAUUUAUGGUGAUGCAGAUUUAUUAACAAUAAAGCAUAAAGGAUGAUUUCGCAUGUUCCU